rnacentral:tRNA from 1 species
AGAAACGAAGAAUUUAAGAUUCAUCUCAGUUACAAUGAGCAAAAUCGGCUGUUGUCCGACGUUUUUA